rnacentral:rRNA from 1 species
UGCAAGUCGAGCGAACAAAGAAGAAGCUUGCUUCUUCUUUGUUAGCGGCGGAUGGGUGAGUAACACGUGGGCAACCUGCCCUGCAGAUGGGGAUAACUCCGGGAAACCGGGGCUAAUACCGAAUAAUCAGUUUGUUCGCAUGAACAAACUCUGAAAGACGGUUCGCGCUGUCACUGCAGGAUGGGCCCGCGGCGCAUUAGCUAGUUGGUGGGAUAACGGCCUACCAAGGCGACGAUGCGUAGCCGACCUGAGAGGGUGAUCGGCCACACUGGGACUGAGACACGGCCCAGACUCCUACGGGAGGCAGCAGUAGGGAAUCUUCCACAAUGGACGAAAGUCUGAUGGAGCAAUGCCGCGUGAGUGAAGAAGGUUUUCGUAUCGUAAAACUCUGUUGUGAGGGAAGAACAAGUACGGGAGUAACUGCCCGUACCUUGACGGUACCUCAUUAGAAAGCCACGGCUAACUACGUGCCAGCAGCCGCGGUAAUACGUAGGUGGCAAGCGUUGUCCUGAAUUAUUGGGCGUAAAGCGCGCGCAGGCGGCCUUUUAAGUCUGAUGUGAAAGCCCACGGCUCAACCGUGGAAGGUCAUUGGAAACUGAAAGGCUUGAGUACAGAAGAGGAAAGCGGAAUUCCACGUGUAGCGGUGAAAUGCGUAGAGAUGUGGAGGAACACCAGUGGCGAAGGCGGCUUUCUGGUCUGUAACUGACGCUGAGGCGCGAAAGCGUG